GAUGAACGCUAGCGACAGGCUUAACACAUGCAAGUCGAGGGGCAGCACGGGAGUAGCAAUACAACUGGUGGCGACCGGCGCACGGGUGAGUAACGCGUCUGCAACCUACCGAUCCGUGGGGACUAACCCGGCGCAAGGCGGACUAAUACCGCAUAAAACAGGGGCACCGCAGGGUGAUCUUUGUUAAAGAAAUUCGCUGAUAGAUGGGCAUGCGUUCCAUUAGGUAGUUGGUGAGGUAACGGCUCACCAAGCCGACGAUGGAUAGGGGAGCUGAGAGGUUGGUCCCCCACACUGGUACUGAGACACGGACCAGACUCCUACGGGAGGCAGCAGUGAGGAAUAUUGGUCAAUGGGCGGGAACCUGAACCAGCCAAGUCGCGUGAAGGAAGAAGGAUCUAUGGUUCGUAAACUUCUUUUGCAGGGGAAUAAAGUGCAGGGCGUGUCCUGUUUUGUAUGUACCCUGAGAAUAAGGAUCGGCUAACUACGUGCCAGCCGCCGCAGUAAAAC
rnacentral:rRNA from 1 species